UAAUUUGAUAUUUGAUUUAAUGUUUUUGAAAACAUAAAUAAUAAGUUAUCAUGCUGAUUUUUGAAUUAAUAAAAUAUAUAUAUUAAUAUAUAUUUGUGAAACGAUUAAGCCCGCAUGUGCGGGCAAAACAUCUAGUUAAACAAUAAACCGUGGACUCUUGAUUUGAUUAAACAAGAAGUUGGAGACUCAUUAUUUUUCUUCUCGAUAGAAGCUUAGACUAGUGUUUCUUCUUUGUGUUUACUAUUUUUUGUAAAAGUUGUUGAAAAUUAUAUAUUUCUCUCUUUAUUUAUAAUCAUUAAUUAAUAAUAGUUUCCUAAAUAUAAUCAAAUUAGAAUAUUAACUUUCUAAAUUUACACUGAAUGUUAAAUCAAACACCAACAACUAUUUUUACUUUCCAAAAUAUAUAAUUGAUAUAAAUGUUAAUUUCUUCCUGACUUAUUGCAUUUUUGUUGGUUAUGUAAAGAAAAUCAAAUUUGUAAUUUUUAUUUAUUGAUUAAUAAAUACGAAAAAUUAAAUAAUUAAAUUAAAUAUAGUUAUAUGAUUUUUAAUAAAUAUAUGAUUUUAAAUUUAUAACUAUUACUAAAAUAAAAAAAAUUAUGGGCCCUCUAAAUCUUUGGACCCUGUUCGACCGCUCCACCUGCUAAAAGACGGCCCUGAGUCACAUGUAGAGGUAAGGGGUUGUCUAGCUUUAGUGAGCUGUGUGACACGCUAUGCAUGUUCUGAUAUGUGCUUUUAGAGGUUCAUCAGUCACGAAGAGCUGGAUGCUGCGAGUUUGCGUGAACAUGAGGAGUUCACAAAAGCGAAGAAUAUAACAACGGAGAUAUGGGUACUCUUCCGUUUCCACCAGAAUACAAAGACUGUGUGAAGCUCUUUUUUCGAGGAAAUGUGAUCUGAAGCAUCCCCCUGGGGAUGAAAUCUAUCAAAGCUCGAUCUUGUCAGUGUUUGAGAUAUAUGGCAAGGUCUAUGCGCAGAACCUCUGUUAUCUGGCAAAGUUAUUUCUUGACCAACAAACUCUUUACUACGACGUCGAUUUGUUCAUGUUCUAUAUUAUGUGUGAAUGUGAUGAUCGGGGGACGACGCCACAUGGUUGGAUACUUUUCAAAGGAAAAGAAUUCAGAAGAAGCGUACAACUCGGCUUGUAUCUAUCCUUACCCUUCCUCCAUAUCAAAGGAAAGGCUAUGGAAAAUUCUUAAUAGCCUUAUAUGAGAUACAAACUCUCAAAGAAAGAGGGAAAAGUCGGGACACCGGGGAGACCGCUAUCUGAUCUAGGCUUAGUGCGUUACAUUACAGGACUCUGAUUUUCUUAGACAUCCUCAUGAAAAAGCACAAGGGAAACAUAAUCAAAAUGCAGGAGAUGAGUGAUAUGUCAGCGUUGUUACAAAUAAAAAGAGUGAUAUGGCAGCGAUUAAAGCAUUAAGCACACUUCAGAGCUUGGAACUGAUACAGUAUAGGAAAGGACAACAUGUGAACUGUGCAGGCCGAGGUGGUCUUGAUGUAGACGUUAGCAAAAUGAUGUUGACUCCUUUCAGAGAGCAGAAUUAAGAGUAAGAGCCAUACAUUUCAAACUACAAUGUGUUUUUUAGGUAACUUUUGUGUGUAAAAGUUUAACACGACUUUGUUCAAUCAAUCUUCUUGUAAUUCUAGGAAUAUUUUUGCCUGAAUGAUAUAAAGAUUAGUAGGAA